UACGUAGGGGGCGAGCGUUGUCCGGAGUUACUGGGCGUAAAGCGCACGCAGGCGGUCUGCUAAGUUUGGAGUGACAGUUGGUGGCUUAACUGCCAAAGUGCUUCGAAAACUGACAGACUUGAGGGCUCAGAGGGACACGGAAUUCCGGGUGGAGUGGUGAAAUGCGUAGAGAUCCGGAGGAACACCAAAGGCGAAGGCAGUGUCCUGGGGAGUACCUGACGCUCAGGUGCGAAAGCCAGGGGAGCGAACGGG
rnacentral:rRNA from 1 species